rnacentral:rRNA from 1 species
UACGUAGGGGGCAAGCGUUGUCCGGAUUUAUUGGGCGUAAAGAGCGUGUAGGCGGCCAGACAGGUCAGCUGUGAAAACUCGAGGCUCAACCUCGAGACGUCGGUUGAAACCGUCUGGCUAGAGUCCGGAAGAGGAGAGUGGAAUUCCCGGUGUAGCGGUGAAAUGCGCAGAUAUCGGGAAGAACACCCGUGGCGAAGGCGGCUCUCUGGGACGGUACUGACGCUGAGACGUGAAAGCGUGGGGAGCGAACAGG